CCUACGGGUGGCAGCAGUGAGGAAUAUUGGUCAAUGGACGAGAGUCUGAACCAGCCAAGUAGCGUGAAGGAUGACUGCCCUAUGGGUUGUAAACCUCUUUUGUCGGGGAGCAAAGCGAGUCACGUGUGACUCAUUGAGAGUACCCGAAGAAAAAGCAUCGGCUAACUCCGUGCCAGCAGCCGCGGUAAUACGGAGGAUGCGAGCGUUAUCCGGAUUUAUUGGGGUUAAAGGGUGCGGAGGCGGAGGUGCAAGUCAGCGGUAAAAUUGCGGGGCUCAACCCCGUACUGCCGUUGAAACUGCAUCCCUUGAGUGCGCGAGAAGUAUGCGGAAUGCGUGGUGUAGCGGUGAAAUGCAUAGAUAUCACGCAGAACUCCGAUUGCGAAGGCAGCAUACCGGCGCGCAACUGACGCUCAUGCACGAAAGCGUGGGUAUCGAACAGGAUUAGAUACCCGAGUAGUC
rnacentral:rRNA from 1 species